GGUGUAUUAAAUGGAGAAUGAAUUUUGGAUGAUGAAGUGGAGGUCCUAAUCCCAAAGAAGAUAAUUCCAGACGCUAGGUUUCCAUACUAGUGUGGGUGCUGCAUUUAUAUUACUUCAUUUCUCAAAAACUGAAGCUCCAUUGGUUGAUCCUCUGACCGUCAUUAGUUAGUUGGUAUUGAUGCUAGUCUAGGAAUCCGAAAUUACUUAUUUUCUUCAUCUGUGCAGGGACAAAAUUUUUUGUGGUCUGUGAGCCUGGAACCCAGCACAUGGAAAGUUUGCUGAAAUUCAUAUAUGAGCUGUACACUGAUUAUGUUCUGAAGAACCCAUUCUAUGAGAUGGAGAUGCCCAUACGUUGUGAGCUCUUCGAUAUCAACUUGACACAGGCGGUACAAAAGGACCGGGUUGCAUUUUUGGGACGAUAAAUUACAAACCCCCCCCCCUCCUUCUCACGUCUCUGCCAGAGAUAUGCAAAGUGCCCGCAGUCCUAUUGCAGUUGGUUGGACAAAUUUCUGAUUGUGGCAUUGAAACUAAGAAUGUUAGACCAACUUUGUCUAUAGCCUGUACUCUUUUGCAUAGCUGAGGAAAGUGCAGUGUUGAUGCUCCAGACUUCGGGAGAUACUUUUUGUUCUUGCUACAUUUGAUUUGCAAAAACAUGGAUAAUUGGCAUUAUGUUUGAGGUGGCA